GAAAUGCGAUAAGUAGUGUGAAUUGCAGAAUUCAGUGAAUCAUCGAAUCUUUGAACGCACAUUGCGCCCCUCGGUAUCCCGGGGGGCAUGCCUGUUCGAGCGUCAUUUCUACCACUCAAGCUUAGCUUGGUAUUGGGCAUCGUUACUUCCUUAUUUAAAGGAAUUUAACGUACCCUAAAUGUAGACGGCGGCAAACACUAUUUCCGAGCGUAGCAGUAAAACAUUUUCGCUCUAGGAGUUUAGGGUAUUGUCUACCGCAUAGUUCUUUCUACUACAGUUUGACCUCGGAUCAGGCAGGGAUACCCGCUGAACUUAA
rnacentral:misc_RNA from 1 species